GGAGGAGGCGCCGGCGCCGCGGUGCUGAGCUCAGCGCUUUGGCCCCGGGGCCGCGGGUGGGGGCAGGGCGGAGGGGCCCGCGCCUUUCGGGAUGUUUUGUCAGGGGGCACAUGAGAUGCUACUGUGUGACAGUGCCAAGCACAAUGAGGAUGCUUCAGAAAGGAGGAUGAAUCAGAAGGUCUGAAUCCAAUUAUCAGCAAAAAGCAGCCUGAGCUCACCUUCUAACAUCUCCCCAGCGCCUUUGGGGUAGGUGAAAAGGGCCUUCCGUGGUGGGGCAAGGUCUGAGACA